CCCUAACAAAAUUCCUUUCUUUUUUCAGAUUAAAUCCUGCUUAUAUAUUCAGUACUUGGCUAUCAUCUUUAAUAUAUUUCUCAUCCAUUCCCUGGGAAACAAGUCUACUCCUAUUACCAAUGAAGCAAUUGAGACAUAAAAGAAGAGUUAAGAAACCCAAUCAAUCUCAAAGACAACAAUACAUACUAGAACCUCUUUCUUUAUAGUUAAGAUUACAUCUGUGAUUGCAUUCCUGAGAGUUCCAGCUUUUUUGAUAUACUAUAUACAACUCCGGUCCUGUUGUCAUCCUACAAGCCCUUCAUUAAGGAAAUAAAUGCCUGAGUGACAAUGAUAAAAUGGAAUAAGCAGAAGGAGGAGACAAGUAUGUGGAUUGGAUUGGAGUGCUAAGUAUGCCUUAGGGCAAUGCUGCUCCUGAGAAUGACUCAUCUCUGGAACAAAACAAGAAAAACACUUAUUUCAUCAAGACCCACUAUAGCCCAGGCAGCACUGCGUUGGUUAGCUGGCUGCCCCCGUACAUGCUGUCUGAUGUCCUGUGCAAGACUGUUCCAGCUGGACCUCUGAUUACCAAGCCAGACUAUGCUGUGCAUUAGCUCCAAUAGAUCAUCGAACACAAGAGAAGUAAAAUGGAAGCCAACGAAAUGAAUCUUGAAGAGGCUUCUGAGAACAGAUGCUAUGAACUGGAGUACUUGUCCACCAGUAAGCUGGCUGACACUCCCAGCAGCUAGACUGAAGCCAUGAGCCUCGUGGAAAACUGAUGAGCUCCUUUCUGCUGGGGACCCGCAUCACUCUGUGAACUGCUCCCCGUCAUCGCUUGUUGCUCACGUGAAAGGGAUGAGCUUGAGGCCUGGAGACAAGACUUGAGUCCACCCCAGUCAGUCAGACAGACCUAAGCACUGAGAGCCUAAGCUGAGACACCCAUUACUAUCAAGGCAAUGAGAUGUUCCCAGGAUGGAGAGCGCUGCCUAGCAAGACCUCCCGGCAGUUUUCCCAGGUGGAAGCUGUUCAGGUUGAGUUGAGCA
rnacentral:lncRNA from 1 species